rnacentral:rRNA from 1 species
AGAGUUUGAUCAGGGCUCAGAUUGAACGCUGGCGGUAUGCUUAACACAUGCAAGUCGAACGCGAACGGUACUUCGGUACUUAUUAGAGUGGCGGACGGGGGAGUAACGCGUAGGAAUUUGCCCAGUAGUGGGGGACAACAUGUGGAAACGCAUGCUAAUACCGCAUACGCCCUAUGGGGGAAAGCAGGGGAUCUUCGGACCUCGCGCUCUAAGAUGAGCCUGCGUCGGAUUAGCUAGUUGGUGAGGUAAUGGCUCACCAAGGCGACGAUCCGUAGCUGGUCUGAGAGGACGACCAGCCACACUGGGACUGAGACACGGCCCAGACUCCUACGGGAGGCAGCAGUGGGGAAUAUUGGACAAUGGGGGAAACCCUGAUCCAGCAAUGCCGCGUGUGUGAAGAAGGCCUGCGGGUUGUAAAGCACUUUCAAUUGUGAAGAAAAGCCUGAGGUUAAUAGCCUCGAGUCUUGACGUUAACUUUAGAAGAAGCACCGGCUAACUCUGUGCCAGCAGCCGCGGUAAUACAGAGGGUGCGAGCGUUAAUCGGAAUUACUGGGCGUAAAGCGCGCGUAGGCGGUUAGAUAAGUCAGAUGUGAAAGCCCCGGGCUCAACCUGGGAACUGCAUUUGAAACUGUUUAACUAGAGUGUGGUAGAGGAGAGUGGAAUUUCAGGUGUAGCGGUGAAAUGCGUAGAUAUCUGAAGGAACACCAGUGGCGAAGGCGGCUCUCUGGACCAACACUGACGCUGAGGUGCGAAAGCGUGGGUAAAAAACGGGAUUAGAUAACCCGGUAGUCCAUACCCCGGUAGUCCACGGUAAAAGAUGUCAACUAACUGUUGGGCGGGUUUCCGCUUAGUGGUGCAGCUAACGCAAUAAGUUGACCGCCUGGGGAGUACGGCCGCAGGGCUAAAACUCAAAUGAAUUAAUUGACGGGGGCCCGCACAAGCGGUGGAGCAUGUGGUUUAAUUCGAUGCAACGCGAAGAACCUUACCUACCCUUGACAUACAGAGAAUUUACUAGAGAUAGGUUAGUGCCUUCGGUAACUCGGUUACAGGUGCUGCAUGGCUGUCGUCAGCUCGUGUCGGGAGAUGUUGGGUUAAGUCCCGUAACGAGCGCAACCCUUGUCCUUAGUUGCCAGCACGUAAUGGUGGGAACUCUAAGGAGACUGCCGGUGACAAACCGGAGGAAGGUGGGGACGACGUCAAGUCAUCAUGGCCCUUACGACCUGGGCUACACACGUGCUACAAUGGUCGGUACAGAGGGUUGCCAAGCCGCGAGGUGGAGCUAAUCCCAGAAAACCGAUCGUAGUCCGGAUUGGAGUCUGCAACUCGACUCCAUGAAGUCGGAAUCGCUAGUAAUCGCGAAUCAGAAUGUCGCGGUGAAUACGUUCCCGGGCGGUGUGUCCCCCGCCCGUCACACCAUGGGAGUGGGUUGCAAAAGAAGUGGGUAGACUAACCUUCGGGAGGUCGCUCACCGCUUUGUGAUUCAUGACUGGGGUGAAGUCGAAACAAGGUAGCC